ensembl:lncRNA
GCUCCUCUGGGCCUUAACCGAGCAAAUGGCGGCUAUAUUUAGAGCGAUAAAGAUAGAGAGCAUUGGUGCCAAUAUCUCUGCAACCCCAGAGGGCCUGCGUUUGACCUGGAAGAACCCAUACAGGGAUAAGGCGCCUCACUGCUUUGAGAGCUUUAUUCGAUUCAAGACCAUCUGUGCCCCCAGCUGGGAGGUAAGCGCUGUGGCCAACGCGCUGCCCUUUCACCUGCAUAGUUUUACACACCUCCUCUCCGCCAAUCCUAUCUCUGUCCUCUCGAACAGAACGUUACCCCAGUUAGGUUCAACUACGUCCUGAGGACCAGCAGGCAUAAGGAUUACCAGUUCCAGAUACGGAUGAGGUACAACUCGCUAUGUGAACCCACCCGUCUCAAUGUCUGGACCUCGUGGACACCGAGGCUCAGCCUAGGAAAUGUUAACGACACAGGAUCUUGCAUGGUGGGGGGACCUCCACCACAGCCCACCACCACCCUGUACACCAUCCUCCUCCUCCCCCUUCUCUUGUGUUUCGUGCUCCUGUGCAGCUUGACUCACGAAAGGGUCAGAAGGUACUUUCUGCCAAUCAUUCCUGAUCCAAAGCACAGGCUGGAUGGGCUCUUUAAGAUGGAGAUGAGUCAGAACUGUGCUGACCCUGCGAUGGAGUGUGAGAUUGAGACGGUGGCGAUCGAAAUAGUCAACUUUGAGAAGGAGGAAGAUGGUUCGAUUGAAGAGAAACUUCUGGAGAAAGACCAGGAGACUAAGG